rnacentral:rRNA from 1 species
GAUGAACGCUGGCGGCGUGCCUAAUACAUGCAAGUCGAGCGAACAGACGAGGAGCUUGCUCCUCUGACGUUAGCGGCGGACGGGUGAGUAACACGUGGAUAACCUACCUAUAAGACUGGGAUAACUUCGGGAAACCGGAGCUAAUACCGGAUAACAUGUUGAACCGCAUGGUUCAACAGUGAAAGACGGUCUUGCUGUCACUUAUAGAUGGAUCCGCGCCGCAUUAGCUAGUUGGUAAGGUAACGGCUUACCAAGGCAACGAUGCGUAGCCGACCUGAGAGGGUGAUCGGCCACACUGGAACUGAGACACGGUCCAGACUCCUACGGGAGGCAGCAGUAGGGAAUCUUCGGCAGUGGGCGAAAGCCUGACGGAGCAACGCCGCGUGAGUGAAGAAGGUCUUCGGAUCGUAAAGCUCUGUUAUUAGGGAAGAACACAUGUGUAAGUAACUAUGCACGUCUUGACGGUACCUAAAGAGAAAGCCACGGCUAACUACGUG